UCCGAAAACCAAACCAUUUGAAUCAAUCCAUGUCGGAAAAUCUAACUUCACUACCUAUUGCCGGGAACAAUGGCGGCGAAAGAACGUACCAGCCUUACUGGUGCUACCAGUGCCAGCGGACGGUCAGGAUUGCGCCUUCCUCGAACCCUUCCAACAUCGCCUGCCCGCGUUGUUUCGGGCAAUUUGUCCGUGAAAUCGACCUCCAAAGGCCUAAUCUCCUCAUCGAUUACGCCGGCUUCGAUCCCUCGCCGGGAGCCCGUCUUCUCGAAGCUCUCUCCCUCAUGCUCGACCCGCCUAUCCGCCGCUUCAACCCCGAUUCACACUACCAGAAUGAAUCCGAUCCCCAAACCUUCCCCUGGCUCCGGCGACUCCCCGGCAUCCACCAAGUACCAGAACGGUCCGAUACCUUGCACCCCACGGAAUCGGAAACUCAUCCGAGACGGCGACAACGCCGGAGCCGAAGCUUUGACGGAACCGAAAUCUCCGCUGAACCGGAGCCUGCUGACGGAACUAGAAACGGGUCCCGGACUUGGAUUAUUCUCCGGCCUUUAGACCCGGCCAGCCCGUUUGCACCGAUUUUCCGGUCAUCGGAUGAUUCGGCGCCGCCGCCGAGGGUCAAUGUCCGGGACUACUUUUGGGGGCCGGGGCUGAACGAAUUGAUCGAGGAGCUGACGCAGAACGACCGGCAGGGGCCUGCGCCGGUGCCGGAGGUGGUGAUAAGCGCGAUUCCGACGGUGAAGAUAACGGAAUCGCAUUUGAAAAACGACUCGGAGUACUGCCCGGUCUGUAAGGAGGAGUUCGAGGUGGGCGGCGAGGCGAGGGAGCUGCCGUGCAAGCAUAUCUACCAUUCGGACUGCAUUGUGCCGUGGCUGAGGCUUCACAACUCCUGUCCCGUUUGUCGGAAGGAGUUGCCGGUUAGCUCCGGCGGUCGAAGCGCAAACCGGCGGUGGUCGCGGUGGAAUCGGUUGUUGUCUCUUUGGCCUUUUCGGCCGAGAUAUCGACAAAUUGCUCCGGAGGGUGACGACGAUCAUAACUCCACCUCUCGACCUGGAUUUUAACUGUGUGUAAACUAACUGGCGCCAUGGGGGAUUGCUGUGGAAUCAGAUGUAUGGAGUAAUUUGGAUGUAUAGGUUGGUUCUGUAAAAAAUAACAUGGAAAAAAAAAAAAAAGAGUUUCUGUGGCUUUUCUCAUCUGUUUAUGUAAGAAAUAACAUUUGGCCAAAAAACGCCCUAUUUCCAUUGUGGAGAGACUUCUGCAUUAAUCUACAAUGUAUUAUGAAUAAACACGCAAAUAUGUUCCCUUAAAAGGCCAAUAAGUCUUGAAUUAAUCCAAAAAGAAACUGAAAGUAAGAAAGAGAUAAGACAUUCUUGCGAGAUAUGUUUCUGGAAAGCAAUGGUGU